AUUGAACGCUGGCGGCAGGCCUAACACAUGCAAGUCGAGCGAAUGACGGGAGCUUGCUCCUUGAUUCAGCGGCGGACGGGGGAGUAAUGCCUAGGAAUCUGCCUGGUAGUGGGGGACAACGUUUCGAAAGGAACGCUAAUACCGCAUACGUCCUACGGGAGAAAGCAGGAGACCUUCGGGCCUUGCGCUAUCAGAUUAGGCUAGGUUGGAUUAGAUAGUUGGUGGGGUAAUGGAUCACCAAGGCGACGAUACGUAACUGGUCUGAGAGGAUGAUCAGUCACACUGGAACUGAGACACGGUCCAGACUCCUACGGGAGGCAGCAGUGGGGAAUAUUGGACAAUGGGCGAAAGCCUGAUCCAGCCAUGCCGCGUGUGUGAAGAAGGUCUUCGGAUUGUAAAGCACUUUAAGUUGGGAGGAAGGGCAGUAAGUUAAUACCUUGCUGUUUUGACGUUACCGACAGAAUAGGCACCGGCUAACUCUGUGCCAGCCGCCGCGGUAA
rnacentral:rRNA from 1 species